GACGAACGCUGGCGGCGUGCCUAAUACAUGCAAGUAGGACGCUGAAGGAGGAGCUUGCUUCUCUGGAUGAGUUGCGAACGGGUGAGUAACGCGUAGGUAACCUGCCUGGUAGCGGGGGAUAACUAUUGGAAACGAUAGCUAAUACCGCAUAAGAUUGACUAUUGCAUGAUAGUCAGUUAAAAGGUGCAAUUGCAUCACUACCAGAUGGACCUGCGUUGUAUUAGCUAGUUGGUGGGGUAACGGCUCACCAAGGCGACGAUACAUAGCCGACCUGAGAGGGUGAUCGGCCACACUGGGACUGAGACACGGCCCAGACUCCUACGGGAGGCAGCAGUAGGGAAUCUUCGGCAAUGGACGGAAGUCUGACCGAGCAACGCCGCGUGAGUGAAGAAGGUUUUCGGAUCGUAAAGCUCUGUUGUAAGAGAAGAACGAGUGUGAGAGUGGAAAGUUCACACUGUGACGGUAUCUUACCAGAAAGGGACGGCUAACUACGUG
rnacentral:rRNA from 1 species